UGGGGAAUUUUGGACAAUGGGCGCAAGCCUGAUCCAGCAAUGCCGCGUGCAGGAUGAAGGCCUUCGGGUUGUAAAGCUCUGUGGGGAGGGACGAACCGCUGCACGUUCAUAGCGUGCAGCAUGACGGUACCUCCUUAGCAAGCACCGGCUAACUACGUGCCAGCAGCCGCGGUAAUACGUAGGGUGCGAGCGUUAAUCGGAAUUACUGGGCGUAAAGCGUGCGCAGGCGGUUUGCUAAGACCGAUGUGAAAUCCCCGGGCUCAACCUGGGAACUGCAUUGGUGACUGGCAGGCUAGAGUAUGGCAGAGGGGGGUAGAAUUCCACGUGUAGCAGUGAAAUGCGUAGAGAUGUGGAGGAAUACCGAUGGCGAAGGCAGCCCCCUGGGCCAAUACUGACGCUCAUGCACGAAAGCGUGGGGAGCAAAUA
rnacentral:rRNA from 1 species